CCUACGGGAGGCAGCAGUGGGGAAUAUUGCACAAUGGGGGAAACCCUGAUGCAGCGACGCCGCGUGAGUGAAGAAGUAAUUCGUUAUGUAAAGCUCUAUCAGCAGGGAAGAAAAUGACGGUACCUGAGUAAGAAGCCCCGGCUAACUACGUGCCAGCAGCCGCGGUAAUACGUAGGGGCAAGCCGUAUUCGGGUUUACCUGGUGUAAAGGGAGGGUAGACGGGCGUGCAAGUGUUGAGUGAAAGGCGGGGGCCUAACCCCCGGACUGCCUUGGAAAAUUGACGGCUGGAGUGCAGGAGAGGUAAGUGGAAUUCCUGGUGUAGCGGUGAAAUGCGUAGAUAUUAGGAGGAACACCAGUGGCGAAGGCGGCUUACUGGACUGUAACUGACGUUGAGGCUCGAAAGCGUGGGGAGCAAACAGGAUUAGAUACCCCAGUAGUC
rnacentral:rRNA from 1 species